AAGCCUACAAAUCCUAGAUUUUGUUGCAUAUGCUAUGCAUUUUCUAAUCGACCUCCUGUAUAGAUUGAUAGUAGGUUUCAUUAGCACGAUCCUCACUCUCACUUGACUUAAAAUCAAUUCAACUCUCACUUGACUUAAAAUCAAUUCAGCACGUGGUUCCUGAAUUAUGUGCAUCGUUAUUUAUGACAUGGAGAAAUGAUAACCAGGCAAUCAAUAAUAUCUUUUGCAAGGCGGAGUUGGUUUUAGUGUGAAAGUGCAAAGCAGAAAAGAGAGAGAGAAAAAUCUAUGCUGAUUCACUGCAAUUAAUGGUUUUGUUCGUGGAUCUGUCAUCCUUCCUUUUCCAGAUACCCACUUCUCCAAUUAAGGUUGAUCCCAGGACAGGAAUUCUAAUUAUGUCAUAAAUCCCUUUUUUACAUGGAUUUUGGUCCUAUCAUCAAUGACUCCAGGUCAAGUACAUGAUUCAUUCAUUUGGAUCCAUCUUGACUACUGUAAGCUUGCCACCGUUUUAAGGCCUUUGCUUGAAUUUGUAAAGCAAAAA